CUAUGGCUACCUGUGGAGCGAGGUCUACUCCAUGGGCAUCUUCGUCAGUCGUUUUAAAAUAGAGAGGAAUAAUGAACCCUAAGGUGGUGAAGGAGUUCAAGAGGGUGAUUCUGGAGGCUGGUGGCUCUGUGAAUGGAAGGGACAUGCCUGGGUCGUGAACCUUGCCAGGAUGCGUUCUUUCACUGCAAGGGAUUGGCCAAAGCUGAGGGAACAAUGAAUGGUCAUCACUGACUUCUCCCCCCCUCUCGCUCUCACUCCAGAUGACAAUAUGUUUUUCUUUUUAUACAGUUGAUGUACCUGUUGUUAUUGUAUUGGAGUUGCCAUAUUGUGUUAAUUGUUUGAGCACUAUAAUAGUAAGGUGGGGGAGUUUUCACUCACUGGAAACGGCUUGUUUUUGUGUGAGAAAUGCUGUGCUACCUUGGUAUUUGAUGUUAUAUUUUCAGUCUUACAUACUGACAAAGCUUGGAACAGAAAAGGCAACUGCAAAAGUAUGGUUAUUUUUACUUGGUUAAUAUGAAAAGGUAUCUCAAAAUGACAAUACGUGUGUUAUAUUUUCAGUGAAAAGUACUUUAAUCAUAAUAACCCUUCUUACAAACAGAUUAAUACACCUUAUGGAAUAACGCGGAA